GGAGUGGUGGUUCAGUGGUAGAAUUCUCGCCUUCUUUGCAGGAGACCCAGGUUUGAUUCCUGGCCAAUGCA
rnacentral:tRNA from 1 species